rnacentral:rRNA from 1 species
GCAUAUCAAUAAGCGGAGGAUGGUCCGUGUUUCAAGACGUAAUGGCUUUAAACGACAUCAUAGAGGGUGACAAUCCCGUCUGCGACCGGUCGUGCGUUCAUCUACGAUACGCUUUCAAAGAGUCGAGUUGUUUGGGAUUGCAGCUCCAAAUGGGUGGUAAACAUCACUUAAGGCUAAAUAUUGGCGAGAGACCGAUAGCGAACAAGUACCGUGAGGGAAAGAUGAAAAGAACUUUGAAAAGAGAGUUAAACAGUACGUGAAAUUGUUGAAAGGGAAACGAUUGAAGUCAGUCGUGCUGGCGCGAAAUCAACCCUCUCAUCGGGAGAUCACAUGUUGUGGCGAGCCUCAAGACCGCCACAGCGUGUGAUCUCACGAUGAGGGGGAGCACUUUUGUGUCCGCUGGUUAACAUCAAUUUCGAACGUCAUAAAAAGGCUGGAGGGAUGUGGCUCCUUCGGGAGUGUUAUAACCUUUAGCGGAAUGUGGUGGUCGGGAUUGAGGAUUGCAACGAAUACCUUUAGGGCUGUUCCACCUGGCUUCUCUUUGGCAUCCUGGUGACGACAGCCUGCUGACGUUGUUAGGAUUCGCCUUUGAACAGGCUAGAGUGUGAGCAAAUUCGUUGAGGAUGUUGACGUAAUGGCUUUAAACGAC